ACACGCUGGCGGCGUGCCUAACACAUGCAAGUCAACUUGACUGAAGGGAGCAAUCUGACAGUAGAGUGGCGCAAGGGUGCGUAACGCGUAAGUAACUUGCCCCAAGGUAAGGAAUAACGUCGAGAAAUCGGCGCUAAUACCUCAUAAUGCAGCGGAUCCGCAUGGAUAUGUUGUUAAAGGUUUACCGCCUUGGGAUAGGCUUGCGUCUGAUUAGCUAGUUGGUGUGGUAACGGCACACCAAGGCUACGAUCAGUAACUGGUCUGAGAGGAUGAUCAGUCACACUGGAACUGAGACACGGUCCAGACUCCUACGGGAGGCAGCAGUGAGGAAUAUUGGGCAAUGCUCGAAAGAGUGACCCAGCAACGCCGCGUGGAGGAUGAAGGUAUUCUAUAUCGUAAACUCCUGUGAGAGCAGACGAAAGACAGAUUAUUAAUCUGGAUGACUGUAUGCUCAGAGGAAGCCCCGGCUAACUACGUG
rnacentral:rRNA from 1 species